ensembl:lncRNA
UGAGGGCUGCAGUGGGGAGUGGGGGGGGCAGGAGAAAGCGGGGCCAGAGACCCAAAAUUGAUGGGUUUGGGAGGGGCUGUGGAGGAGGGGGCUCUGGGGACAGCAGGCACGGCCAGUGGGAAAGGGAAAGGACUGGAGGGAAAGAGGAGAGGAAAUGCGCUGGGCACGGGGCUCCUGGGCCCGACUGGGUGUCCUGGGAUGGGCUGGAACACACUGGGGACCCUGGGGAAGCCUUGGCAAGCCCCGGGCUGGACUGCCACGCCCUGGGCUGCUCUGGGGUGCCCUGGAGGGUCCUGGCCAAGAGAGGAGAGGGUCUCACCCAGCAGAAGAACUCGGGGUACCCACCUGGCUGCUGCCAAUGCCACCAACUCUCUGUGGAGAGACCAUGAGAUGUCAGCGGUCACUGGGGUGUCCCCAGUCCCAGCAAAGGCUGGGGGUGACCAAAGUGCCCCCCCAGCUCCCCCACGGGUGCACCCAGCUCCAGGACUUACCCCGGCACAAAUGGUUUCAUCACCGCUGCCAUCCAUGGCCUGGGGAAGGAAGGAAGGAAGGAAGGAGAGCAGAAUGUUGGUGAGGAUUGGCCCUUGUGGGGCUGGGGGGGAGCCCAGGUGUCCCCAGCCCCCUCCCCAGCCCAGGGCUGUGCCGUGCUCUGAGCAGGGGGUGCCAGGGCAUUUGGGGACACCGCUGCAGGGUGAAAGGCCACGGCGAGAGGGGAAAGGCUGGAAAGAAGAGCCCGGGAAUCGUCCCGGGCUGGGGUGGGGGCAUUUCCCACUUUGUGCCAGUUCAGCCUGGCUUGGCACUGGAGCGCUUGAGCCCAGCUGGGCCGAGUUCAGCCCAGUCUGCGCUCGGAUGGGUUUGGACCUCCUGGUGCCACCUCAGCCGAGCUUGGGACGGGCCUUUGUCCUUGGCUGGGAAACACAGGAGGUGCUGGGGAGAUGGCCCAGGGGAGCAGGAGGGUGGGAUGGGGAGGCCCAGAAGGCCGGGAUUUGGGGGGAGCAGGGCAGGAAAGCGCCGGGGCCCUGCCAGGGAGGAGCCGGCUCCGAGCAUCCCAUGGGGAAGCCGGGCUGGGGCAGCGGCAGUUCCAUGGUGGGAAGGGGAAGGACAGAGGCGAUGGUGGCGAGGAGAAAGCGGCACCUCCUGGGGCCGGAGAGCCCGGCCGAGCCCCUGGGCUGGGAAGAGCCCCCAGGCCCGAGCCCGGCCCGGGGCCUUGGAGCCGCACCUCGCUCUGUGCUGGCAGGCACAGCAGGAUGGAGAAGAGCAGGGCCACGGCGAGCACAGCCACCUUCAUCUUCCUCUUCCUCCUGUGCCAGUGAGUGGGGAGCGCUGGCUGAGGCUGCCCCAGGUGAGGAGCACCUUUAUCCUGCCGGGACUCCUCCCUGCGCCCUCGCCAAGAGCCCCCAGGCCAAAGGCCGGCUUGGCACAGCCCCCAGCCCUGGCCACAAGCCCAGGCCUGGCACAGAGUCCAUCCCAGCUGCGGCACGGAUCCAGCCCCCCUCCCCGCAUCCCUGCGGCUCCCUGCACGGGGCAGCUGCCCCUGCAAGGGCCCAGGCCCCCGCGGCUGCCAAGGGGGGCAGGCAGGGAGCCAAAGGCAGCUGGGGAGCCUGUGGGGACACCCCCCAGUGCAGCACAAUCCAUCCUCCAAGCUGCCCCAUCUCCCGCUGCCCCUGCCCUGCCCCAGCUUUCCCCGUUCACGGGCU